AUUGAACGCUGGCGGCAUGCUUUACACAUGCAAGUCGAACGGUAACAGGCCUUCGGGUGCUGACGAGUGGCGCACGGGUGAGUAAUGCAUCGGAACGUACCCAGAGGUGGGGGAUAACGCAGCGAAAGCUGUGCUAAUACCGCAUGUGAUCUGAGGAUGACAGCGGGGGACCGCGCAGCAAUGUUUGGCCUCGCGCCUUUGGAGCGGCCGAUGUCGGAUUAGCUAGUUGGUGGGGUAAAGGCCUACCAAGGCGACGAUCCGUAGCUGGUCUGAGAGGACGACAGGCCCCACUGGGAGUGGGACACGGCCCGGACUCCUACGGGAGGCAGCGGUGGGGAAUGUUGGACAAUGGGCGCAAGCCUGAUCCAGCAAUGCCGCGUGCGGGAAGAAGGCCUUGGGAUUGUAAAACGCUUUUGGCAGGAACGAAACGGUGUCCGCUAAUACCGGGCGCUAAUGACGGUACCUGCAGAAUAAGCACCGGCUAACUACGUG
rnacentral:rRNA from 1 species